rnacentral:rRNA from 1 species
ACGAAGGGGGCUAGCGUUGUUCGGAUUUACUGGGCGUAAAGCGCACGUAGGCGGACUUUUAAGUCAGGGGUGAAAUCCCGGGGCUCAACCCCGGAACUGCCUUUGAUACUGUUAGUCUUGAGUAUGGAAGAGGUGAGUGGAAUUCCGAGUGUAGAGGUGAAAUUCGUAGAUAUUCGGAGGAACACCAGUGGCGAAGGCGGCUCACUGGUCCAUUACUGACGCUGAGGUGCGAAAGCGUGGGGAGCAAACAGGA